ACCGGGAGAUAGCUGGUUCUCCCCGAAAGCUAUUUAGGUAGCGCCUCGUGAAUUCAUCUCCGGGGGUAGAGCACUGUUUCGGCAAGGGGGUCAUCCCGACUUACCAACCCGAUGCAAACUGCGAAUACCGGAGAAUGUUAUCACGGGAGACACACGGCGGGUGCUAACGUCCGUCGUGAAGAGGGAAACAACCCAGACCGCCAGCUAAGGUCCCAAAGUCAUGGUUAAGUGGGAAACGAUGUGGGAAGGCCCAGACAGCCAGGAUGUUGGCUUAGAAGCAGCCAUCAUUUAAAGAAAGCGUAAUAGCUCACUGGUCGAGUCGGCCUGCGCGGAAGAUGUAACGGGGCUAAACCAUGCACCGAAGCUGCGGCAGCGACGCUUAUGCGUUGUUGGGUAGGGGAGCGUUCUGUAAGCCUGUGAAGGUGUGCUGUGAGGCAUGCUGGAGGUAUCAGAAGUGCGAAUGCUGACAUAAGUAACGAUAAAGCGGGUGAAAAGCCCGCUCGCCGGAAGACCAAGGGUUCCUGUCCAACGUUAAUCGGGGCAGGGUGAGUCGACCCCUAAGGCGAGGCCGAAAGGCGUAGUCGAUGGGAAACAGGUUAAUAUUCCUGUACUUGGUGUUACUGCGAAGGGGGGACGGAGAAGGCUAUGUUGGCCGGGCGACGGUUGUCCCGGUUUAAGCGUGUAGGCUGGUUUUCCAGGCAAAUCCGGAAAAUCAAGGCUGAGGCGUGAUGACGAGGCACUACGGUGCUGAAGCAACAAAUGCCCUGCUUCCAGGAAAAGCCUCUAAGCAUCAGGUAACAUCAAAUCGUACCCCAAACCGACACAGGUGGUCAGGUAGAGAAUACCAAGGCGCUUGAGAGAACUCGGGUGAAGGAACUAGGCAAAAUGGUGCCGUAACUUCGGGAGAAGGCACGCUGAUAUGUAGGUGAGGUCCCUCGCGGAUGGAGCUGAAAUCAGUCGAAGAUACCAGCUGGCUGCAACUGUUUAUUAAAAACACAGCACUGUGCAAACACGAAAGUGGACGUAUACGGUGUGACGCCUGCCCGGUGCCGGAAGGUUAAUUGAUGGGGUUAGCGGUAACGCGAAGCUCUUGAUCGAAGCCCCGGUAAACGGCGGCCGUAACUAUAACGGUCCUAAGGUAGCGAAAUUCCUUGUCGGGUAAGUUCCGACCUGCACGAAUGGCGUAAUGAUGGCCAGGCUGUCUCCACCCGAGACUCAGUGAAAUUGAACUCGCUGUGAAGAUGCAGUGUACCCGCGGCAAGACGGAAAGACCCCGUGAACCUUUACUAUAGCUUGACACUGAACAUUGAGCCUUGAUGUGUAGGAUAGGUGGGAGGCUUUGAAGUGUGGACGCCAGUCUGCAUGGAGCCGACCUUGAAAUACCACCCUUUAAUGUUUGAUGUUCUAACGUUGACCCGUAAUCCGGGUUGCGGACAGUGUCUGGUGGGUAGUUUGACUGGGGCGGUCUCCUCCUAAAGAGUAACGGAGGAGCACGAAGGUUGGCUAAUCCUGGUCGGACAUCAGGAGGUUAGUGCAAUGGCAUAAGCCAGCUUGACUGCGAGCGUGACGGCGCGAGCAGGUGCGAAAGCAGGUCAUAGUGAUCCGGUGGUUCUGAAUGGAAGGGCCAUCGCUCAACGGAUAAAAGGUACUCCGGGGAUAACAGGCUGAUACCGCCCAAGAGUUCAUAUCGACGGCGGUGUUUGGCACCUCGAUGUCGGCUCAUCACAUCCUGGGGCUGAAGUAGGUCCCAAGGGUAUGGCUGUUCGCCAUUUAAAGUGGUACGCGAGCUGGGUUUAGAACGUCGUGAGACAGUUCGGUCCCUAUCUGCCGUGGGCGCUGGAGAACUGAGGGGGGCUGCUCCUAGUACGAGAGGACCGGAGUGGACGCAUCACUGGUGUUCGGGUUGUCAUGCCAAUGGCACUGCCCGGUAGCUAAAUGCGGAAGAGAUAAGUGCUGAAAGCAUCUAAGCACGAAACUUGCCCCGAGAUGAGUUCUCCCUGACUCCUUGAGAGUCCUGAAGGAACGUUGAAGACGACGACGUUGAUAGGCCGGGUGUGUAAGCGCAGCGAUGCGUUGAGCUAACCGGUACUAAUGAACCGUGAGGCUUAACCUU
rnacentral:rRNA from 1 species